CGGCGCACGGGUGAGUAACGCGUAUGCACUUGCCUAUCAGAGGGGAUAACCCGGCGAAAGUCGGACUAAUACCGCAUGAAGCAGGGAUCCCGCAUGGGAAUAUUUGCUAAAGAUUCAUCGCUGAUAGAUAGGCAUGCGUUCCAUUAGGCAGUUGGCGGGGUAACGGCCCACCAAACCGACGAUGGAUAGGGGUUCUGAGAGGAAGGUCCCCCACAUUGGUACUGAGACACGGACCAAACUCCUACGGGAGGCAGCAGUGAGGAAUAUUGGUCAAUGGCCGAGAGGCUGAACCAGCCAAGUCGCGUGAGGGAUGAAGGUUCUAUGGAUCGUAAACCUCUUUUAUAAGGGAAUAAAGUGCGGGACGUGUCCCGUUUUGUAUGUACCUUAUGAAUAAGGAUCGGCUAACUCCGUGCCAGCAGCCGCGGUAAUACGGAGGAUUCGAGCGUUAUCCGGAUUUAUUGGGUUUAAAGGGUGCGUAGGCGGCCUUUUAAGUCAGCGGUGAAAGUCUGUGGCUCAACCAUAGAAUUGCCGUUGAAACUGGGGGGCUUGAGUAUGUUUGAGGCAGGCGGAAUGCGUGGUGUAGCGGUGAAAUGCAUAGAUAUCACGCAGAACCCCGAUUGCGAAGGCAGCCUGCCAAGCCAUCACUGACG
rnacentral:rRNA from 1 species